rnacentral:rRNA from 1 species
GACGGAGGGUGCUAGCGUUGUUCGGAAUGACUGGGCGUAAAGGGCGCGUAGGCGGCCGCUUGCGUCGGAUGUGAAAGCCCGGAGCUCAACUUCGGAAUAGCCUUUGAGACUGCAUCGCUUGAAUCCGGGAGAGGUGAGUGGAAUUCCGAGUGUAGAGGUGAAAUUCGUAGAUAUUCGGAAGAACACCAGUGGCGAAGGCGGCUCACUGGACCGGUAUUGACGCUGAGGUGCGAAAGCGUGGGGAGCAAACAGG